rnacentral:rRNA from 1 species
CCUACGGGUGACAGCAGUGGGGAAUAUUGCACAAUGGGGGAAACCCUGAUGCAGCGACGCCGCGUGAGCGAGGAAGUAUUUCGGUAUGUAAAGCUCUAUCAGCAGGGACGAAAAAAGACGGUACCUGAUUAAGAAGCCCCGGUUAACUACGUGCCAGCAGCCGCGGUAAUACGUAGGGGGCAAGCGUUAUCCGGAUUUACUGGGGGUAAGGGGAGGGGAGACGGCAAGGCAGGCUAGAAGUGAAGGGGCAGGGCUAAACGCUGUACAUGCUUUUGGAACUGUGGUGCUAGAGGGCAGGGGAGUUAGGUGGAAUUCCUGGUGUAGCGGUGAAAUGCGUAGAUAUAAGGAGGAA